rnacentral:misc_RNA from 1 species
GAUGAAGAACGCAGCGAAAUGCGAUACGUAAUGUGAAUUGCAGAAUUCAGUGAAUCAUCGAGUCUUUGAACGCACAUUGCGCCCCCUGGUAUUCCGGGGGGCAUGCCUGUCCGAGCGUCAUUGCCGCCCUCAAGCACGGCUUGUGUGUUGGGCCUCCGUCCUCCUCCCGGGGGACGGGCCCGAAAGGCAGCGGCGGCACCGCGUCCGGUCCUCGAGCGUAUGGGGCUUCGUCACCCGCUCUUGUAGGCCCGGCCGGCGCUUGCCGACACAUCAAUCUUUUUUCCAGGUUGACCUCGGAUCAGGUAGGGAUACCCGCUGAACUUAAGCAUAUCAAUAAGCGGAGGA